rnacentral:tRNA from 1 species
GUCCCUUUCGUCUAGUGGUUUAGGACAUAGCCUUUUCAUGGCUGUAACGUGAGUUCGAAUCUCAUAAGGGAUA